UAGGGAAUCUUCGGCAAUGGGGGCAACCCUGACCGAGCAACGCCGCGUGAGUGAAGAAGGUUUUCGGAUCGUAAAGCUCUGUUGUAAGAGAAGAACGUGUGUGAGAGUGGAAGGUUCACACAGUGACGGUAACUUACCAGAAAGGGACGGCUAACUACGUGCCAG
rnacentral:rRNA from 1 species